UGAGUAACACGUGGGUGAUCUGCCCUGCACUUUGGGAUAAGCCUGGGAAACUGGGUCUAAUACCGGAUAGGACCACGGCCUUCAUGGGUUGUGGUGGAAAGCUUUUGCGGUGUGGGAUGGGCCCGCGGCCUAUCAGCUUGUUGGUGGGGUAAUGGCCUACCAAGGCGACGACGGGUAGCCGGCCUGAGAGGGUGUCCGGCCACACUGGGACUGAGAUACGGCCCAGACUCCUACGGGAGGCAGCAGUGGGGAAUAUUGCACAAUGGGCGCAAGCCUGAUGCAGCGACGCCGCGUGAGGGAUGACGGCCUUCGGGUUGUAAACCUCUUUCAACUACGACGAAGCGCAAGUGACGGUAGUAGUAGAAGAAGCACCGGCCAACUACGUGCCAGCAGCCGCGGUAAUACGUAGGGUGCGAGCGUUGUCCGGAAUUACUGGGCGUAAAGAGCUCGUAGGUGGUUUGUCG
rnacentral:rRNA from 1 species